rnacentral:rRNA from 1 species
GACGAACGCUGGCGGCGUGCCUAAUACAUGCAAGUCGAGCGCAGGAAACUGACGGAACUCUUCGGAGGGAAGGCAGUGGAAUGAGCGGCGGACGGGUGAGUAACACGUAAGGAACCUGCCUCAAGGAUUGGGAUAACUCCGAGAAAUCGGAGCUAAUACCGGAUAGUUCAACGGACCGCAUGGUCCGCUGAUGAAAGGCGCUCCGGCGUCACCUUGAGAUGGCCUUGCGGUGCAUUAGCUAGUUGGUGGGGUAACGGCCCACCAAGGCGACGGUGCAGAGCCGACCUGAGAGGGUGAUCGGCCACACGGGGACUGAGACACGGCCCAGACUCCUGCGGGAGGCAGCAGUAGGGAAUCUUCCACAAUGGACGAAAGUCUGAUGGAGCAACGCCGCGUGAGUGAUGAAGGUUUUCGGAUCGUAAAACUCUGUUGUAAGGGAAGAACACGUACGAGAGGGAAUGCUCGUACCUUGACGGUACCUUACGAGAAAGCCACGGCUAACUACGUGCCAGCCGCCGCCGUAAGAC